ncrna:unclassified sequences L2-Alphaproteobacteria ribosomal protein leader
GGGGACCUUCGGGGCCCUAUACCAACGGUGGGCUUCACCCACCCUACAUAAGACGGGGAGACCCGUCUAAGCUAAACGGAAGACAGAAA